UCAGCUCUCUAACUCUCCCACUUUCUCCCCGAUCGAACCCACACCACCUACGCAAACUUGAGACACCCACACCCCGACGACGGCGCGCCACCACCACCGGCUUCGUGGGCUCUCUCUCUCUCACCCUCACUCGUCUCUAUGGAGCUCAGCGAAGCCCAGCAACCCAGGAAACCCCGACGGACUCCCGUGCGUUUCAAACGAAAUUCCGGCCACCCCCGACCUUUUCUCGGCAAACCAAGGGUAGCAACCUCUUCUCAUUGUCUCACUUUUCAAGUUGACACUUAGAUCGGAGUCUAGGGUUACGUUUUGGUGUCGACCGAAGCACGGGAGGCUCCGGCCUCCAUCCCCGGCGAGGAAUGGGUCACUGACCCAAGUCCAGUGAACCUAGGCCCUUUUUGGGUCGCAUUAAGAAAUCGGGCCCUAAGCCCGUUUAAACCUGUAUGGCCCAAACCCUUUUAUGUUUAUUUAUAUUGUUUUAUUUUAUAACCCAAAAACAAUCGGGCCAGGCCUCAAUGCCUAGCCCAAUUGGAAACCCCAAACCCUUUCGGUCUUAAGCGUUAAAGCCGUGUAGGCCUAGGCCUUCGGGCCUUUGCAGCCAGCCCACUUAAAAGCCUAGACCCAAAACCCUAUUGGAUCCAGGCCUUUGGGCCAUGGAUCCGGUCCACUAACCUUAGGACCCAAGCCCAAGAACCCGGCCCAGCCUACUGAACCGGUCCGGCUUUUGACCCGGUGUGACCGUUGACCUAGUCAACGAUGACCGUUGACUUUGACCGAUCAACGUUAACAGUUGAUUUUCGGGUUUCAUCCGGAACCCUCUUACGCUAAUUUCGAUGUCCCAGGCCUGUUUUCGAUGUCCUUUUUUCCAAAUUAAAUCGUUUGAGUAGAGUUUAACUAAUUGAACCCUUUUUAUGCUUAGGUGCAUAUAUUGCGGCGCUUAGCCUUUGCUAGUCUGCACAUCUUUUUUAUGGCAAAGUAGUGUGAGUGGACUCCUUCUAAAAUGUAUGUUUUAAUAGUAUAAAUGCAUACAUGAAAACGUGAUUUAAUGAUUAUGUUUUAUGAUACUGAGCUUAUUUUGGAAUACAUAUUUUCUAUCUCAUCCAUGUUCUUGUAGAAUAUUUAAUGGAUGACGAUAUACUAUUUAGAACAUGUUUUUACACACUUCUUUAUAGUAUAGAUGAUGAAUGACUUUAUAUUAUGAAGAUGCUUUUGAGAUAUAUGUACCUAUGUUUGGAAAUAUUAUUUUCAAUGGUUUUGUGCGUAUCUAGUGGUCCCUAUUAUUGACUUUUGGGUUGGGUGUUGUAGGAGUUUUCGAGCGAUUGAUACUUAUAUUGACAUUCGGGUUGGGUGCUGUAGGAGCCUUGGGCGAUUGAUACUUUCGGGUUGGGUGUUGUAGGAGCCUGCAGAUGAUUGAUAUUUGUUAAGGAAGUGUUCUGAAGGAAGAGUUCUAUAUGCUUUCGGACGAUACUGAUAGCACUAGUUAGCAUACUAUAUACGAGAUAUGUUUUAUGAAGUUUUACAGCAUACUAGGAUUUUCGGAAAAACCUAUCACAUAUUGUGCUAUUAGUUUUCAUAAAACUUUAAGAGUUAGUAUGUUGAUAAAUGUUUUAGUAUUAUAUAUAUCAACUUGGUAAACUCAUGUUUGUUUUGCGUCUCUUCAGAACUUAGAAUCGAAGUGUACAAUCUCGGCAUCAAGGCACUUCCGCAUCGGCAUCUUCGAGUCCUCUCGAUGUGGAACCCAUUCCUUUAUUCAUUAAAUUUUAUGUUAUUUCCUUGCUAGUGUCAGUAAAUUAGUUGUAUGCUUUGAACAUGUUCUUCAUUUGCAUAUUAAUUAUAUUUAAAUUUAUAAGUCUUAUUUAUUUCUUGUUCUCAUGCAUCCUAAAUGGCUUGUGUCACCUUCGGGUGUCGGCCAGCACGUACCUACCCUGAUGUUCGGAACGUGUCAUAUGACUAAGGGUUGAAUGGGAAAUCGGGUUGGGACCAGGUUAGACCGAUGAUUCGG
rnacentral:lncRNA from 1 species